GACGUAGGGGGCGAGCGUUGUCCGGAAUUACUGGGCGUAAAGAGCACGUAGGCGGGAACUUAAGUCAGGUGUGAAAGACCGUGGCUCAACCACGGGUAUGCAUUUGAAACUGGGUUUCUUGAGGGCAGGAGAGGAAAGCAGAAUUCCUGGUGUAGCGGUGAAAUGUGUAGAAAUCAGGAGGAAUACCAGUGGCGAAGGCGGCUUUCUGGACUGACCCUGACGCUGAGGUGCGAAAGCGUGGGUAGCAAACAGGAUUAGAUACCCUGGUAGUCCCUGA
rnacentral:rRNA from 1 species